rnacentral:rRNA from 1 species
CCUAGGGGAGGCUGCAGUGGGGAAUAUUGGACAAUGGGCGAAAGCCUGAUCCAGCCAUGCCGCGUGUGUGAAGAAGGCCUUCGGGUUGUAAAGCACUUUCAGUGGGGAAGAAAGCCUUGGGGCUAAUACCCUCGAGGAAGGACAUCACCCACAGAAGAAGCACCGGCUAACUCCGUGCCAGCAGCCGCGGUAAUACGGAGGGUGCGAGCGUUAAUCGGAAUUACUGGGCGUAAAGCGCGCGUAGGCGGUCUGAUAAGCCGGUUGUGAAAGCCCCGGGCUCAACCUGGGAACGGCAUCCGGAACUGUCAGGCUAGAGUGCAGGAGAGGAAGGUAGAAUUCCCGGUGUAGCGGUGAAAUGCGUAGAGAUCGGGAGGAAUACCAGUGGCGAAGGCGGCCUUCUGGACUGACACUGACGCUGAGGUGCGAAAGCGUGGGUAGCAAACAGGAUUAGAUACCCUAGUAGUC